rnacentral:rRNA from 1 species
AUUGAACGCUGGCGGCAGGCUUAACACAUGCAAGUCGAACGAGUGGCGGACGGGUGAGUAAUGCUUGGGAAUCUGGCUUAUGGAGGGGGAUAACGACGGGAAACUGUCGCUAAUACCGCGUACCAUAGGAUGAGCCCAAGUGGGAUUAGGUAGUUGGUGGGGUAAAUGCCUACCACGCCUGCGAUCUCUAGCUGGUCUGAGAGGAUGACCAGCCACACUGGAACUGAGACACGGUCCAGACUCCUACGGGAGGCAGCAGUGGGGAAUAUUGCGCAAUGGGGGGAACCUGACGCAGCCAUGCCGCGUGAAUGAAGAAGGCCUUCGGGUUGUAAAGUACUUUCAGCGGGGAGGCGUUACCCGCAGAAGAAGCACCGGCUAACUCCGUGCCAGCAGCCGCGGUAAUUC